rnacentral:rRNA from 1 species
GAACCUNGUCGUACUCCGAAUGCAUCUCGAUUAUANUUUUGAUCAUGGCUCAGAGUGAACGCUGGCGGUAGGCCUAACACAUGCAAGUCGAACGGCAGCACAGGAGAGCUUGCUCUCUGGGUGGCGAGUGGCGGACGGGUGAGGAAUACAUCGGAAUCUACUCUGUCGUGGGGGAUAACGUAGGGAAACUUACGCUAAUACCGCAUACGACCUACGAGUGAAAGCAGGGGAUCUUCGGACCUUGCGCGAUUGAAUGAGCCGAUGUCGGAUUAGCUAGUUGGCGGGGUAAAGGCCCACCAAGGCGACGAUCCGUAGCUGGUCUGAGAGGAUGAUCAGCCACACUGGAACUGAGACACGGUCCAGACUCCUACGGGAGGCAGCAGUGGGGAAUAUUGGACAAUGGGCGCAAGCCUGAUCCAGNNUCAUACCAGCGUAGGGUGAACGAAGGNC